AACGAACGCUGGCGGCAGGCCUAACACAUGCAAGUCGAGCGAGCAUUUCGGUGCUAGCGGCGGACGGGUGAGUAACGCGUGGGAACGUGCCCUUUUCUGCGGAAUAGUCCUGGGAAACUGGGGGUAAUACCGCAUACGCCCUUUUGGGGAAAGAUUUAUCGGAGAAGGAUCGGCCCGCGUUGGAUUAGGUAGUUGGUGGGGUAAUGGCCCACCAAGCCGACGAUCCAUAGCUGGUUUGAGAGGAUGAUCAGCCACACUGGGACUGAGACACGGCCCAGACUCCUACGGGAGGCAGCAGUGGGGAAUCUUAGACAAUGGGGGCAACCCUGAUCUAGCCAUGCCGCGUGAGUGAUGAAGGCCUUAGGGUUGUAAAGCUCUUUCAGCUGGGAAGAUAAUGACGGUACGAGCAGAAGAAGCCCCGGCUAACUCCGUG
rnacentral:rRNA from 1 species